rnacentral:rRNA from 1 species
CUCCAGACUCCUACGGGAGGCAGCAGUGGGGAAUAUUGCACAAUGGGGGAAACCCUGAUGCAGCGACGCCGCGUGAGUGAAGAAGUAUUUCGGUAUGUAAAGCUCUAUCAGCAGGGAAGAAAAUGACGGUACCUGAUUAAGAAGCCCCGGCUAACUACGUGCCGGCAGCCGCGGUAAUACGGAGGAUGCGAGCGUUAUCCGGAUUUAUUGGGUUUAAAGGGUGCGUAGGCGGAAUGCCAAGUCAGCGGUAAAAUCGCGGGGCUCACCCUCGCUCCGCCGUUGAAACUGGCGUUCUUGAGUGGGCGAGAAGUGCGCGGGAUGCGUGGUGUAGCGGUGAAAUGCAUAGAUAUCACGCAGAACUCCGAUUGCGAAGGCAGCGCACCGGCGCCCUACUGACGCUCAGGCACGAAAGCGUGGGUAUCGAACAGGAUUAGAUACCCCGGUAUG